rnacentral:rRNA from 1 species
CAGUCGCCGCGGGAAUACGAAGGGUGCAAGCGUUACUCGGAAUUACUGGGCGUAAAGCGUGCGUAGGUGGUGGUUUAAGUCCGUUGUGGAAGCCCUGGGCUCAACCUGGGAAUUGCAGUGGAUACUGGGUCACUAGAGUGUGGUAGAGGAUAGUGGAAUUUCCGGUGUAGCAGUGAAAUGCGUAGAGAUCGGAAGGAACAUCUGUGGCGAAGGCGACUAUCUGGGCCAACACUGACACUGAGGCACGAAAGCGUGGGGAGCAAACAGGAUUAGAUACCCCAGUAGUCCCUGUCUCUUAUAC